UAGGGAAUCUUCCACAAUGGACGCAAGUCUGAUGGAGCAACGCCGCGUGAGUGAAGAAGGUUUUCGGAUCGUAAAGCUCUGUUGUUGGUGAAGAAGGAUAGAGGUAGUAACUGGCCUUUAUUUGACGGUAAUCAACCAGAAAGUCACGGCUAACUACGUGCCAGCAGCCGCGGUAAUACGUAGGUGGCAAGCGUUGUCCGGAUUUAUUGGGCGUAAAGCGAGUGCAGGCGGAAGAAUAAGUCUGAUGUGAAAGCCCUCGGCUUAACCGAGGAACUGCAUCGGAAACUGUUUUUCUUGAGUGCAGAAGAGGAGAGUGGAAUUCCAUGUGUAGCGGUGGAAUGCGUAGAUAUAUGGAAGAACACCAGUGGCGAAGGCGACUCUCUGGUCUGCAACUGACGCUGAGGCUCGAAAGCAUGGGUAGCGAACAGG
rnacentral:rRNA from 1 species